UAAGGACGUCACAUCCGGCACUGUAUGUUUCAGUCUACUUCACGGCAUGCCUGGGUCGAGUAAGACUGAAGGCGUGGGUGACUGUCCAACUUAAAUAUGCUAAGUGUUGCUGAGAUGAAGCCAGGCUCUGCCCUGCUCAGACCUCCUGACUGACCUCUACUGCUCCAGCAUGACUUUGAGCUGAACACUAAGAACUAGAGAUGAAGCCAGGCUCUGCCCUGCUCAGACCUUCUGACUGACCUCUGCUGCUCCAGCAUGAGCUGAACACUAAGG